CCUACGGGGGGCAGCAGUAGGGAAUCUUCCACAAUGGGCGAAAGCAUGAUGGAGCAACGCCGCGUGGGUGAAGAAGGUCUUCGGAUCGUAAAACCCUGUUGUUAGAGAAGAAAGUGCGUGAGAGUAACUGUUCACGUUUCGACGGUAUCUAACCAGAAAGCCACGGCUAACUACGUGCCAGCAGCCGCGGUAAUACGUAGGUGGCAAGCGUUAUCCGGAUUUAUUGGGCGUAAAGGGAACGCAGGCGGUCUUUUAAGUCUGAUGUGAAAGCCUUCGGCUUAACCGGAGUAGUGCAUUGGAAACUGGGAGACGUGAGUGCAGAAGAGGAGAGUGGAACUCCAUGUGUAGCGGUGAAAUGCGUAGAUAUAUGGAAGAACACCAGUGGCGAAAGCGGCUCUCUGGUCUGUAACUGACGCUGAGGUUCGAAAGCGUGGGUAGCAAACAGGAUUAGAUACCCCGGUAGUC
rnacentral:rRNA from 1 species